AUGUGUAUGUUUGUUUUACUACUGGUGCUUCACCGCUACCGUGAUUUUGAGAAGCUGUGUCUAAUCGUGAUUUUCAAGUUUGGAAGUUUUCGAAACGCACAAGUAGUUUUUGUCAAUUUUUGUCAAAAACUAAGGUGGUUCAUUGCAAAUUGUCAAUCUCAUUGCAAAUUCAAACAUGCUUUGAGCAAAGAUUACAAUGGAGAUCUCCAAUGUAGUUGGUUGGAUAUUGUUUGGAGCCUAAACUGUUUCAAAGCAAGACUUGUCUCUUUCUAUGUCAAUGUUAACUCAACAUCACUAUGUCUACUUGUUUACUAG